ensembl:lncRNA
CAUCGUGCGCGACCACGGCAUCCGGCUGCUGGAGGCCCAGAUCGCCACGGGCGGCGUCAUCGACCCCGUGCACAGCCACCGAGUGCCCGUGGACGUGGCCUACCAGCGCGGCUACUUCGACCACGAGAUGAGCCGCGUCCUGGCGGACCCGGGCGACGACACCAAGGGCUUCUUCGACCCCAACACACACGAGAACCUCACCUACGUGCAGCUGCUGCAGAGGGCUACAGUGGAUCCUGAAACUGGGCUCUUGUUUCUCUCUUUAUCUUAGGGCAGUGUUCUUUUAUGUCUAUGUUUUUCUUGUGUCUUUCAGAAUAUUUUUCAGCAUUUUUGUCAUUCCAAUUCUGUUAUACUCUGCUUUUCUCCUUUUAUGUUUGAAGGAAUUUAGGUUUUCUGUUCCUUUCCUUGGUAUAGCCCAUUUCUGCAUUUCCAGCCUCUAUGCCUUUAGCUUAUUCUUUGUAUUCAUAGAUAUUUUUUUCUGCAAACUCCCAUUGUUUCUGUGUGAUUUUCACUAAUUUAUUUCUUUUUCUGUCAUUUUGUUUUUGCUUGUUUGUUUGGCUUUUUUCCCUGAACAACUUUCAUGUCAUCUCUUGUUCACUUGCUAAGCAUGGAAGGAAGUGUCUGUUCUCUGGGACCCUCUUAUGUCAUCCUGAUGUGUAGGUUGCUCGGACUAUUCUUGACUUGAUUGAAUUCUGGACAUGUAGAGGUCUCUGGAUUUUGAGUAUCCUACCCUCAUCAGAGAAUGAGCUUUUGGCAUUGUGGCCUCCUUUGAGCAAGAGCGUCACUGAGGCCAUGACUUUGAAGGGCAUAAGUUUUCUUAUGCUUAUCCAGUCUCACUGCUUCCUGAGGGCCCCCAAAUAAGAGACCACCCUGCCUCUGCUAUGAUGUUUCUGCAUUGGAGCCAGCCAAAAUGGACAGAGAUCUGUAAAACUGUUAGUUAAAAACAAAUCUUUUCAUCAUUUAACUUGUGGGUAUCAGAAAUUUCAUCCCAGCAAUGGAAAGGUGACUAAUACAUCGUGUCAAUUUGUUAUGUUCCAAUUUCAAUAAAUGCAUUUAUUUUCAUUAUAAAAUGAUUUUCAUGUGUUUGGAUGAGCUAAGGUCUUCUGGCUGUGGAUUCAUGAAAGGCAGGAAACUCCAAACACCCUCCCACUUUAAGAAAGAUCCUUCAGGGCCACAACGUAGGAGCAAAUUGCUCUCAACCUUAACGUCCACCCAUUAGGGUAGUCUCUAAAGUCUACAGCCUUAGUUCAGGCUAAAGUGGCUUCAGGCCAGGCACAUUUCACCAAGUCACAAGUGGACAAGGUCCUCUGGAUGAAGAUGCACCAUGUGGCUCCUUUAGUUCAUUCCUCUAACUACAUCUUAGAGAAGAGUCAGUUGAUCAGGGGCAAGCAUCUGUGGUUCUAGCUAAUUGGGAUGCUAAGGCAGAAGGAUCACUUGAACCCAGGAAUUAGUUCAAGAACAGAUCAGGUAACACGGUGAAACUCCAUGUCCAAACAAACAAAUGAAAUAAUGAAGUGCCCAGCAUAUAAUCAAAGAAACCAAGGUGCACCAGGAGCUAUGACUGCACAGAUGAGAACUCCCAGAAAAUACAGAUCAAGCAAGAGACACAGAACACAGCAACCUUGCAUCAGCCAGUCACCCUGCCCAGGAUUCAAGCCUGGACACCUACCAGGAAUGUGGAAACUAUACCAAGAGAAAUUCUAGAACUGAAAACAACAAUAACUGGGAUUAACAAUUCAAUAUCCAGCUUUACCUAGUAUGUGAGAAAAAUCUGCAGGGCAGCAGGUAUGUGUAGAGUAGCACAGGGAUACUGUAGAGAGAGCCACCAAGGGGAGGAAAGCAAGAGCAGUAAGGUCAUUCAGCAUUGCCAGAUGCACUCUUCAGAAGAAGGGGGCUGGAAAAUGAGGCAGAGGAUCCAGUGGGAAGGAUAUUGGCAUGGAAUUUUCCAGCUCUGAUCAAAGACAUUAAUGUUCAGAUUUAAAUCCCAACCUAUGUCAUAGUAAAAAUGCAAAUAUCCAAGGGACAAGAGAAGGCGUUAAGGCAGCCAGAGAAGAAUCUCAGGUCACCUCAUAGGAGCAGAGGUGGACUGACAGACAGCUGAGCUUUCAAAAGCAGCCGGAAGGAAGACAGGGGAGACAGAGAAAGCUCGACAGAUAGCCAAGGACCCAGACCCUUCCUUCCCCACACAUCCAGACAUGGGCCCUGAAGAGGAGGUGUUGUGGAGAUAGAGCCAUCUAAGAGGACCAGUUCUCAGUCUGGCAAUAUUAAGCAUCCCCUUCCAGGACCUGUUUUAAUUACUACAAGGAGCUGGGCCAAAUCUAGCUUCUGUGCCCUCUACUCUAUCAUGAGUCUUAGUGAAGACAGAAGUCACAGUCCUGUCACCCAUCUCAGAGGGAGAUGCCCUUGUGUCAGCUGUGUUCUAAUCUUGGAAGCAUGUCUGAGUCCACCCUGCACUCCUGGGAGAGGCCUGCAAACAGGUGUGUAACCAGGAGACAAGGUCAUCAGGGUAGACAGUGGGAAGGGCCUCCUGAUCCUCCUCUGGUCACUUGCCUUUCUCCCAGGCAGGGUGUCCUGGCAUACAGGACAUCUGUCCUGGCCCUGAGAGCCAGGAGAUCUUUUACCUGCCAGUGGGAAAGAAAUAGGCAGGAAUUCAGAGAAGAGGCCACCCAAAUCCCCCACAGGACUCAGAAAGACCCCAAGGGACAACCAAGGAGCCUGGGCAGGUCCCCAAAGUGAAGUAGAGAAGGUGGUGAGCACUAAACCUGCAGAUGCCAUUAAGUGCCACAAUAAAAGGACAGACUGGCCAGAGAGCCAGAGACUCCCAGAGAAAGACUAUCCCCAGAGAAUGUGUAAUAUGCAGUAAAGGGCCUGACUGGAUGUGGGAUGGACAGGCAUGGAGGCAGGGGCAGCAGGGCACAGGAUCUGGAGCACCAGCCAAGGAAAGUAGGUAAGGAUGUGCUUCAGCUGCCACCUCUGAGAGCUGGCAGUAAUAGUCAGGCCACAGGAUCACAGUGUUAAAUGGCUGGGAAGCAUUAGGGCCUCACACAUGAACAUAUUGUAUAUACUAUUGUUCAUUUUGUAGAGGGUGUAAUUGGACACUUAUUAGUCUAGAACUGUUGUAGCAAAGUACCGUAAAUGAAGUGGCUAACAACAACACAAAUUUUGUCUUUCAUAGUUCUUGAGGUCAGAUGUCCACAACCAAGCUGUGGGCAGAGCUGGCUCCUUCUGGAGGUUCUGGGGAAGAAUUUGCUCCAGGUUCUCUUGGAACUACUGGUGGCUCCCCAAAUCUAGGUAGUCCUCCAGUCCCUGCUCCUAGCAUGGCUGCCUCCCUGGUUUCUCUGCACCUCAAGCCACCCUCUGUUUCCCUCACAAAGAAGCCAAAUGUUGGGUUCAGGGCCCUUCCUAAGCCCAGCAGGACAUAAUCUCAGCAUUCAAAACUGAUUUACACCUGCACAGACCUCUUUCCCAAAUAAGGCCAUGUUCUUAGGAACCAGGGGUUGGGAUACUGACAUGUCUUUUGGGGACUUCUGCUCAACUCGCCACAGAGUGUAUGUGUCUGGUUACAGGGCAGAGAAAGAGAAGGAAAUUCAGAGUUCAGCUCAGAUGUUACCUCUGGGGCUUCCUUGGGUCAUGCCACCUUGCCCACACACCUGCUCCACUUUGCCCCAACACACUUGCUGAAGCUGCUGGAAGUCAGCCAGGAAGAGUAGACAUCUUGCCCUCCUUGAGAGGUAAUUGAGAUCAAUACCCUUAAGAGGGUAUUGAGAUCAAUACCGGCAGGGUUAGCGAACAAAGCAGAGAGGAGAAAACAGACAUGGUUAGGUGGUAAAAGUCAAGUGUAGUGUUGGCUGUGAUGCUAGGCUAUGUGACAGGGCAGCCUGCCAGGGGUGACAUUUGAAUCAAGACCUUCAAGAAGUGGACUUGGAGGACACCUGGGAAGGUUAUACCAGGCAGAGGGCACAGCUAGGGCAAAGGCCUUGCAGGAACAGCUUGGGGCCAGGGUGCCAACAGUGGACUUGAUUGGAGAGGGCAGAAGUGAGAACAUGGGCAGGGCCAACUGUGGGGCUUUCACAGGACUUGGUCCUCAUGCUGAGUAAGAAGGGACCUUGGGGUCCCUCGCACCACCCUCAGGCCCAGUGAUUUACUGAUAGGACUCCUAGGACUCCAGAAGCUGUGGAAGCCACAAGUGUAAUUGCUACAGAGGAAAACCAUGGCAGCAAAAGGCCUGUGGGCCAGAGUCUGAGUGUAGAGAAAAUUGUCCUCCCACUCUAGCCAAAGUGCCUCCAUCUUGAGUAGCUGUCCAUGGGUCUUGUGCACCAGUAUGCAGCACAAGAUCAUCACCACCACGGCUGGAAAGUGCAUGUUGAGACUGGCAGAGUUCCUGAUUGCAUGGGAAUGGUAGACACAAAAUUUCCCAAGAACCUUUCUUUUUUUGUUUGUUUUUUUGGUACUGGG